rnacentral:rRNA from 1 species
GUCCUACGGGAGGCUGCAGUAGGGAAUCUUCCGCAAUGGACGAAAGUCUGACGGAGCAACGCCGCGUGAGUGAAGAAGGUUUUCGGAUCGUAAAACUCUGUUGUCAGAGAAGAACAAGUCGGAGAGUAACUGUUCCGGCCUUGACGGUAUCUGACCAGAAAGCCACGGCUAACUACGUGCCAGCAGCCGCGGUAAUACGUAGGUGGCAAGCGUUGUCCGGAUUUAUUGGGCGUAAAGCGAGCGCAGGCGGUUCCUUAAGUCUGAUGUGAAAGCCCACGGCUCAACCGUGGAAGGUCAUUGGAAACUGGGGAACUUGAGUGCAGAAGAGGAGAGUGGAAUUCCAUGUGUAGCGGUGAAAUGCGUAGAUAUAUGGAGGAACACCAGUGGCGAAGGCGACUCUCUGGUCUGUAACUGACGCUGAGGCUCGAAAGCGUGGGGAGCAAACAGGAUUAGAUACCCUUGUAGUCC